CUACGGGUUGCUGCAGUGGGGAAUAUUGCACAAUGGGGGAAACCCUGAUGCAGCGAUGCCGCGUGAACGAAGAAGGCUUUCGAGUCGUAAAGUUCUGUUCUUAGGGAAGAAAAUGACGGUACCUAAGGAGAAAGCACCGGCUAAAUACGUGUCAGCAGCCGCGGUAAUACGUAUGGUGCAAGCGUUGUCCGGAAUUACUGGGCGUAAAGAGUUCGUAGGCGGUCAAAUAAGUCAGAAGUGAAAGGCUACGGCUCAACCGUAGUAAGCUUUUGAAACUGUUUGACUUGAGUACUGGAGAGGAAAGUGGAAUUCCUAGUGUAGCGGUGAAAUGCGUAGAUAUUAGGAGGAACACCAGUGGCGAAGGCGGCUUUCUGGACAGUAACUGACGCUGAGGAACGAAAGCGUGGGGAGCAAACAGGAUUAGAUACCCGCGUAGUC
rnacentral:rRNA from 1 species